rnacentral:rRNA from 1 species
AGUGAACGCUGGCGGUAGGCCUAACACAUGCAAGUCGAACGGCAGCACAGGAGAGCUUGCUCUCUGGGUGGCGAGUGGCGGACGGGUGAGGAAUACAUCGGAAUCUACCUUUUUCGUGGGGGAUAACGUAGGGAAACUUACGCUAAUACCGCAUACGACCUACGGGUGAAAGUGGGGACCGGCAAGGCCUCACGCGAUUAGAUGAGCCGAUGUCCGAUUAGCUAGUUGGCGGGGUAAUGGCCCACCAAGGCGACGAUCGGUAGCUGGUCUGAGAGGAUGAUCAGCCACACUGGAACUGAGACACGGUCCAGACUCCUACGGGAGGCAGCAGUGGGGAAUNUUGGACAUGGGCGCAAGCUGAUCAGCAUACCGCGUGGGUGAAGAAGGCCUCGGUUG